UACAGAGGGUGCAAGCGUUGUUCGGAAUUAUUGGGCGUAAAGGGCGCGUAGGCGGCUUGGCAAGUGGAAGGUGAAAUCCCUCGGCUUAACCGAGGAACUGCCCUCCAAACUGCUUCGCUUGAGACCGGGAGAGGUGAGUGGAAUUCCCAGUGUAGCGGUGAAAUGCGUAGAUAUUGGGAGGAACACCAGUGGCGAAGGCGGCUCACUGGACCGGUACUGACGCUGAUGCGCGAAAGCGUGGGGAGCAAACGGG
rnacentral:rRNA from 1 species